rnacentral:rRNA from 1 species
GUACACUCCUGCGGGAGGCAGCAGUGGGGAAUAUUGCACAAUGGGCGCAAGCCUGAUGCAGCCAUGCCGCGUGUAUGAAGAAGGCCUUCGGGUUGUAAAGUACUUUCAGCGGGGAGGAAGGCGAUAAGGUUAAUAACCUUGUUGAUUGACGUUACCCGCAGAAGAAGCACCGGCUAACUCCGUGCCAGCAGCCGCGGUAAUACGGAGGGUGCAAGCGUUAAUCGGAAUUACUGGGCGUAAAGCGCACGCAGGCGGUCUGUCAAGUCGGAUGUGAAAUCCCCGGGCUCAACCUGGGAACUGCAUUCGAAACUGGCAGGCUAGAGUCUUGUAGAGGGGGGUAGAAUUCCAGGUGUAGCGGUGAAAUGCGUAGAGAUCUGGAGGAAUACCGGUGGCGAAGGCGGCCCCCUGGACAAAGACUGACGCUCAGGUGCGAAAGCGUGGGGAGCAAACAGGAUUAGAAACCCCUGUAGUCCCA